rnacentral:rRNA from 1 species
AUGAUCUGGUGCUUGCACUGGGGAUUAGUGGCGAACGGGUGAGUAACACGUGAGUAACCUGCCCUUAACUCUGGGAUAAGCCUUGGAAACGAGGUCUAAUACUGGAUAUUGACAUUUCCUCGCAUGGGGUUUUGUUGAAAGAUUUAUUGGUUUUGGAUGGACUCGCGGCCUAUCAGCUUGUUGGUGAGGUAAUGGCUCACCAAGGCGACGACGGGUAGCCGGCCUGAGAGGGUGACCGGCCACACUGGGACUGAGACACGGCCCAGACUCCUACGGGAGGCAGCAGUGGGGAAUAUUGCACAAUGGGCGAAAGCCUGAUGCAGCGACGCCGCGUGAGGGAUGACGGCCUUCGGGUUGUAAACCUCUUUCAGUAGGGAAGAAGCCGGCUUUUGGGUUGGUGACGGUACCUGCAGAAGAAGCGCCGGCUAACUACGUGCCAGCAGCCGCGGUAAUACGUAGGGCGCAAGCGUUAUCCGGAA